rnacentral:rRNA from 1 species
CGGGAACAGCUCAAGCCCUUAAUCUGCAACGGACCACCGUUGCCGAGUUGUAGCUUGAAGGUCGGCACUUUGGCAGCGCGGCAGACAUAAGCCCUUUGAAUAGGGCGCCAGAGAGGGUGCAAGCCCCGUCUUUUGUCAGCAGGCGUCUGUCAGUGUAAGUGCCGUCCAGC